rnacentral:rRNA from 1 species
UGGGGAAUCAUGGUCAAUGAGCGAAAGCCUGAACCUGCGACGCCGCGUGAGUGAUGAAGGUCGUAAGAUCGUAAAACUCUUUUCAGGGAUCUUAAAGCCUGUCUGUCAACAACAGGCAGGUCUGACUCUCCCUGGAAAAAGCCCCAGCCAACUACGUGCCAGCAGCUGCGGUAAUACGUAGGGGGCGAGCGUUAUUCGGAAUUACUGGGUGUAAAGGGUAUGUAGACGGCCCUUCAAGUCGCGUGUCAAAGUCCAGUGCUCAACGCUGGGUGUGCGCGCGAUACUGACGGGCUUGAGGGCUGGAGAGGUGAGCGGAAUUCCCGGUGUAGUGGUAAAAUACGUAGAGAUCGGGAGGAACACCAGCGGCGCAGGCGGCUCACUAGACAGUUUCUGACGCUAAGGUACGAAAGCGUGGGGAGCAAACA